CUCUUCAAUGUCCCUCGAAGGCUUCCGAUAUUCCAAAAGAUAGUUUGGAAGAUAUCGGAGCCUUUGUAGGGACCUUGAAGGCUUACACCAUGUUUCUGUAGGAAAAUGGAAGCCUCAAGUGAAUUGGCGAAGUCCUAGGUAUCCCUCAAAGGCUUCCAAUAUUCCAUCAGUUGUAUUGGAAUGUUGGUUGCCUCUGAGGGAUAUUGAAGGCUUACUCCAUGUAGUUAAGUUUUGUUUCCCAUUGAGUUUAGUCGAUCAUGUGGAUGAAAGAACACAGAACAACUGAACCUAAAGUCUCAACUCUCUGGAGCUGAUGAGUAGUCCACACAAGUGCUCGUGGGCUGAAUUUCAGCCCCAAUGAAAGCUACAAGCAAGAACCUCAAAGAGUAAGUGCUGCUUCGUACGCAAUAGCCCUCAAUAAAACUAACAGACACAAAUUAGCAAGGUCAAGAGCUUCAGAUACAAGCUAGCCCUUCAGAAAUGAGAAAUCAGAUUAAACAGCUAGACCAGAUAAAGAGAGUUCUGCAAUUUUUGUGAAUCAUACCGAGAAAAAGACACUAUUCCUACCAAAUGAAAAGCAUAGGAAGCUGAUGUUUCUGAAAAAAGGAAGUCAAUUUCCUCAAUCCUGCAGGACCUGCACAAGCAGUUGAUCUUUCCUCUUCCACCGUCCGGCUGAUUAUUUGUUGUUUAUUAUACUUGGACACUUUGGACAACUUCUCUUAGAAUUAUCAUUCUCAGUCAUUCUCACCUGUCGUCGGUACAUCCUUUGAUGGUCCUCCCGAAGCAAAGGGUUGAUCUGAUGUCCCUUCAUGUGUUAUUCGGUGAGAUAAGGUUGGAUACAAGUCAUGCGAUAUUUCUCUAUCUUCUCCUUCAUCUCAUCCCUUUCAAAAUCAACGUUGAUCCCUAUUCGUACUUUCACCAUGAGCAGACCAAUAUUUGUAAGAUGUACCGAUUGUCCGAUCAAAUAGAUGCUUUUGCAUUCCAAAA